rnacentral:rRNA from 1 species
AUGGCUUCCGCCGCCAUGGCCGCCUCUUCCAGAGCCUUGUUCCGUCCGCAUCGCCUCCUCCUCCUCCCUGACCCUCGCCGCCGCCGCCACCUCUCCGCCAGUGCUGUGGCUUCAGCAAACGCCGCAGCCACGACCGUCCGGCGCGGAGUAGUCGACGUUCUCCGGGAGCGCGGGCUCGUGGAGGCUACCACCUCCGAGGCGCUCGGUUCUUCCUCGGCAGCUUCUGGGGAGCAGCAGCAGCUCAAGGUUUACUGCGGCUUCGACCCCACGGCCGAGAGCCUGCAUCUCGGCAACCUCCUCGGCCUUGUCGCGCUCUCCUGGUUCCGUCGUUGCGGCCACACCGCCGUCGCGCUCGUCGGCGGAGCGACUGGCCGCGUCGGAGAUCCCUCCGGAAAAAGCGCCGAGCGCCCUGAGCUAGACCUCGCCGCCGUGGUCGCCAACUCUGACGCGAUCAAGUCGCUCAUCGCUCAGAUCCUCACCCGCGCCCCCGAGCCAUCUCAUCUCGCCCAAUCUGGUAAAGACGCGAUUUUGGACAAACAUGAAGAUGCUCUUGCCAAUUCUGACCAGGAUUUAUCAGAGAACUCGGGCAAUGCGGGGGAAAGUAUGGGUUCCUUUGUUAUCUUGGAUAACUACGACUGGUGGAAGGACAUCACAUUGCUUGAUUUCCUCAAGGAGAGUGUGAAGAAGCGGCUCAAUUCAGAAGAUGGUAUGAGCUACACUGAGUUCACCUACCAGCUUCUCCAGGGCUAUGACUUCCUGUACAUGUUCAAGAACAUGGGUGUCAAUGUGCAGAUUGGGGGUAGUGAUCAGUGGGGAAACAUCACCGCGGGUACCGACUUGAUCCGGAAAAUUCUCCAGGUUGAGGGAGCGCACGGUCUGACAUUCCCACUCUUGCUGAAGAGCGAUGGAACCAAGUUUGGAAAGACAGAGGAUGGGGCUAUUUGGCUCUCAUCAAAGAUGCUCUCCCCUUACAAGUUUUACCAGUACUUUUUCUCAGUCCCGGAUGUUGAUGUCGUAAGGUUUAUGAAAAUCCUUACAUUUUUGAGCUUGGAUGAGAUUCAUGAGUUGGAAGAAUCGAUGAAGAAGCCCGGCUAUGUGCCAAACACAGUUCAAAGGAGGCUUGCAGAAGAGGUGACACGCUUCGUCCAUGGCCAGGAGGGAGUGGAGGAGGCCUUGAAGGCAACUGAGGCCUUACGGCCUGGGGCACAGACACAGCUGGACUCACAAACAAUUGAGGGAAUAGCAGAUGAUGUACCGUCGUGUUCUUUACCAUACGACCAAGUAUUCAAGUCUCCCCUGGUUGAUCUGGCUGCCUCUACAGGUUUGCUCGCAAGCAAAUCAGCGGCUAGGCGGCUUAUAAAGCAGGGUGGUCUGUACUUGAAUAACACGAAGGUCAAUAGUGAGGAUAAGUUGGUCGAGGAAGGUGAUAUAGUUGAUGGGAAGGUGCUGCUGCUAUCUGCCGGAAAAAAGAACAAGAUGGUUGUGCGAAUAUCUUAA